AUCCUUUUUCAUAUACAUGCAGGCCACUGAACCAAAGGGAGAUAGUAUCCAAAAUGUGUGUUAGUCUACCACCAGUAAGCUUGGGUUUCCUGAUUGCCUUCCCUGGACCCAUAGGAACACCCUAUGGACUACAGGUUGAAACCACCAGAACAUGGCAGUAGAGAGCAGUAGCUUCUGGAUCUGCAGCCCAGACCUCCCUGUAUCCUAUUAACACUACCCUGGGGAUACAAGAUGGCUCCUGAUGAAAACUUCCUAAAGAGAAAUAGUAUUUGAUGGUCGCUGGUGCUCCCCCUGUGUAUGACAAUUCCUAGCACAAAUGACUGGGCUGGGCCUUGGUGAGAGCUCUUCAGUGCUCCAGGAGACUUCACCACCAUGCUGGAAGCAGGUUCUUGCUCUCAUGUUAUCCUGCAGCUGCUCUUGUGUUACUCAACUCUGGUAAAUCCGACACAUCAUUUUUGCCCCAGAAGUGGCUGCAUCAACUGGUGACUUGAAAUC
rnacentral:lncRNA from 1 species